CCUACGGGAGGCACCAGUGGGGAAUAUUGCACAAUGGGCGCAAGCCUGAUGCAGCCAUGCCGCGUGUAUGAAGAAGGCCCUAGGGUUGUAAAGUACUUUCAGUCGGGAGGAAGGCGUUGAUGCUAAUAUCAUCAACGAUUGACGUUACCGACAGAAGAAGCACCGGCUAACUCCGUGCCAGCAGCCGCGGUAAUACAGAGGGUGCAAGCGUUAAUCGGAAUUACUGGGCGUAAAGCGCACGCAGGCGGUUGAUUAAGUUAGAUGUGAAAUCCCCGGGCUUAACCUGGGAACGGCACCUAAGACUGGUCAGCUAGAGUCUUGUAGAGGGGGGUGGAACUCCAUGUGUAGCGGUGAAAUGCGUAGAGAUGUGGAGGAAUACCGGUGGCGAAGGCGGCCCCCUGGACAAAGACUGACGCUCAGGUGCGAAAGCGUGGGGAGCAAACAGGAUUAGAUACCCUUGUAGUC
rnacentral:rRNA from 1 species